UACGUAGGGGGCUAGCGUUGUCCGGAUUCAUUGGGCGUAAAGAGCGUGUAGGCGGCCAGGUAGGUCCGUUGUGAAAACUCGAGGCUCAACCUCGAGAUGUCGAUGGAAACCGUCUGGCUAGAGUCCGGAAGAGGAGUGUGGAAUUCCUGGUGUAGCGGUGAAAUGCGCAGAUAUCAGGAAGAACACCUAUGGCGAAGGCAGCACUCUGGGACGGUACUUACGCUGAGACGCGAAAGCGUGGGGAGCGAACAGG
rnacentral:rRNA from 1 species